rnacentral:rRNA from 1 species
UACGGAGGGUGCAAGCGUUAUCCGGAUUCACUGGGUUUAAAGGGUGCGUAGGUGGGCAGGUAAGUCAGUGGUGAAAUCUCUGAGCUUAACUCGGAAACUGCCGUGGAUACUAUUAGUCUUGAAUCUCGUGGAGGUAAGCGGAAUAUGUCAUGUAGCGGUGAAAUGCUUAGAUAUGACAUAGAACACCGAUAGCGAAGGCAGCUUGCUACACGAGUAUUGACACUGAGGCACGAAAGCGUGGGGAUCAAACAGG